rnacentral:rRNA from 1 species
ACGGGGCGCAGCAGGCGCGAAACCUUUACAAUGCACGAAAGUGUGAUAGGGGAAUUCCACGUGCAAGCUAUGCUUGCUUUUCUCAAGUAUAAACCGCUUGGGGAAUAAGGGCUGGGCAAGACCCGUGCCAGCCGCCGCGGUAAUACGGGCAGCUCAAGUGGCGUUCGCGAAUAUUGGGCCUAAAGCGUACGUAGCCUGUUAAUUAAGUUCCUGGUGAAAGCAUGCGACUCAAUCGUGUGAGUUGCCAGGAAAACUGAUUGACUUGGGACCGGAAGAGGUCGGAGGUAUUUCUUGGGUAGGGGUAAAAUCCUGUAAUCCUUGAAGGACCAUCGGUGGCGAAGGCGUCCGACUGGGACGGGUCCGACGGUGAGGUACGAAAGCUAGGGGAGCGACCCGGAUUAGAUACCCGGUUAGUCCUAGCCGUAAAUGAUGUCUGUUUGGUAUUGCUGGGCUUACGAGGCCUCGCAGUGCCGUAGGGAAGCCGUAAACAGACCGCCUGGGAGUACGCCGCAAGGC